CGUUCUCUGGGUUGUUCGUGUUUUGUCGAUGUCCCUGAGCCGAUAAUUGUUUUGUUAAGGGAUGUUUCUGCGUCGCUUUUGUGCAGGCCCGGCUAGUACCGGGAAGCCUACGGUGGCCAUUGGCGUUCCGCCUUGAACCUUGGGUUCAAGGGCUGAUACAGGGCACGGCAACUUCGGAGAACAC
rfam:Alishewanella agri BL06 contig011, whole genome shotgun sequence.